ACAAGGAUUCCCCUAGUAACGGCGAGUGAAGCGGGAAGAGCUCAAAUUUGAAAUCUGGUAGCCUUCGGUUGCCCGAGUUGUAAUCUAGAGAAGUGUUUUCCGCGUUGGCCCAUGUACAAGUCCCUUGGAACAGGGCGUCAUAGAGGGUGAGAAUCCCGUCCUUGACAUGGACCCCCAAUGCUKUGUGAUACACUUUCAACGAGUCGAGUUGUUUGGGAAUGCAGCUCAAAAUGGGUGGUGAAUUCCAUCUAAAGCUAAAUAUUGGCGAGAGACCGAUAGCGAACAAGUACCGUGAGGGAAAGAUGAAAAGCACUUUGGAAAGAGAGUUAAACAGUACGUGAAAUUGUUGAAAGGGAAACGAUUGAAGUCAGUCAUGCUCUUUGGAUUAAGCCGUUCUGCGGUGUAUUUCAUUGAGCGGGGUCAACAUCAGUUUUGAUCGCUGGAAAAGGGCAGGAGGAAGGUAGCACUCUCGGGUGAACUUAUAGCCUCUUGUCGUAUACAGUGAUUGGGACUGAGGAACGCAGCAUGCCUUUUGGCCGGGAUUCGUCCACGUACAUGCUUAGGAUGUUGACAUAAUGGCUUUAAACGACCCGUCUUGAAACACGGACCAAGGAGUCUAACAUAUCUGCGAGUAUUUGGGUGUCAAACCCGAGUGCGCAAUGAAAGUGAACGUAGGAGCGAUCCGCAAGGUGCAGCUUCGACCGAUCUGGAUCUUUAGUGAUNGGAUUUGAGUAAGAGCAUAUAUGUUGGGACCCGAAAGAUGGUGAACUAUGCCUGANUAGGGCGAAGCCAGAGGAAACUCUGGUGGAGGCUCGUAGCGAUNCUGACGUGCNAAUCGAUCGUCANAUUUGGGUAUAGGGGCGAAAGACUAAUC
rnacentral:rRNA from 1 species